CUCAUCAUUUCCCAAUUCAUUCUGCAUCUUCACGCCUCACUCUCUCUCCCUUCUCAAUUCUUCCUAACUCUCGUCCCUGCAAGGAUAUACUUCCUUUCGAAACACAAGAGGCUUUAGCAUCAUUUUCCAACUAUGAAAAGGAUCCUUUCUGAUAUGUCGAUGAAAGUGGUCAGGAAGGGGAGCAAUUGCUGAACCAGUGAGUUAACCAGAAAUCAGAUUCACCACAGCGAUGGUUUGCUUCCAUAUCUUUCAAUGCGUAUUAAUUGUGCUGUUUAUUUAUUUUAAUUAUUCCAGCUGUCACAACCAUAACAUCCUACAUAUAUCACCUUCACAUCAUGAUUCCAUUUGUGAUUUUGGAUUUAAUUAUAGUAGGGAUCAUCCAUCGAUAUAGGGCAAAAAUCACCCGAAGGUAGUCGAGUUCUUAGGAAUCGAAUACUUCAAGAGAAGUAAUAGAGGUAUUUUUAUGGGCUUUAGGACUCUACUUACAAAAUAUCAUUGACCCCGAAUGCAUAAUUUGCCUCUUCGCCCUACUGAACUGUUCGUAUUACCUAAUUUCCUUUGUCCUGUUUCUGAGACAUACUAAAGUUCUAAUUUUUCUAGAAUUUGCACUAGAAAUAAAUGUCGUUAUUUUAGUACAUAUUUAGAAAAUUGAUUGAUAGUGGCAAAAAACUUAAAAGGUUACGAAUAUGGAUUAUUUGGUCAAAAGAACAGAGAUGCAAGUUGUAAUUGAUAGACCAAAUAAUCCAUAUUUGUAACCCUUAAGUUUUUUGCCAUUAUCAAUCAAUUUUAUAAAAUGUACUAAAAUAACGGCAUUUAUUCCUAGUGCAAAGUCCAGAAAAGUUAGAACUGUAGUAUGUCUCAGAAAUAGGACAAAGGAAAUCGGGUAAUAUGAACAGUUCAGUAGGGUGAAGAGGCAAAUAAUGCAUUCGUGGUUAAUGAUAUUCUGUAAGUAGAGUCCUAAAGCCCAUAUAAAUACCUCUAUUACUUCUCUGAAGUAUUCAAUUUCUAAGAACUCGACUAACUUAGGAAUGAUUUUUGCUCUAUAUCGAUGGAUGAUCCCCACUAUAAUUAAAUCCAAAAUCACAAAUAGAAUCAUGAUACGAAGGUAACAUGAGGGUAUUUUUGUCAAAUCAUUUGGCCCAUUGUUUAUUAAAUUGAGGGUAUUUUUGUCA